ACAUAGUGGGCAGUUAUUGAGCGAGGUUUCCAACGUUCAUCGAUCUAGCUGUUCAAGUCUUGAUCCUUUCCAAACUGGGCAUUUUCUUGCAACUGCUGGUGAUAAACUUAUCAAGAUAUGGGACUAUCACAUGAAAAUGGACUUGAAUUUCCAGGUAUUUAUUGGCCAUUCAAAUAAUGUCUCCAAAGUUCGUUUUA